CCACUCAACAAAACUACCUCUCUCUUCUCACAGCGCCCAUCUCUCUCGCCCUUAUCCGAAACCCUAUCCCUCUCCUCCUCCUCUCUCUCUCUCUCUCUCCAUCUCUCCCCCUGUGUCCCAAUAGAACCGGAACCACAAAACCCUAGAAAACGAAUUCGCAGAGAUUUCUUUGUGGCUCAUCUCGGAGGUGUAGCCUGGCGUUGACUCGUUGGAGGAAGGCGAAGAAGAUGGUGGCUACGGUGAGCCCACUCCGGUGGUUGGAGAUCGUGACGGAGGAGAGAGAGUCCUCCAGAUCCACUUUCUCUCUCCUCCACGAAUAUGAGUUCUUGUUUCCUUUCUGUUCAGCACCCAACCUCCAGAUCGUGACGGAGGCAAGGUUUGAAUUGUUGAAAUGGGUUUCUACCCAUUUAAGUGGCUUUGUCCCUUGAAUUUAAGUUUCUUCUCUUCCUCUUCAGCACCCUUCCCACUGCCUCAUCUCCAAUCCUCAGUUGCAGGGCUUCAACUAUGGAGGCUCACUAAGACCCAGAUUCUCUUUCACCACUAAAGACACUGACAAAGGCAUUCGCAUUCAACCCAUUAAAGCCAAAGCAGCAACCACCGAGGCCUCUCCGUUUCCUCUGCUUCAGUCUCCCCGAGCUAAAGACUCUCCCUCUGAGUUGGAGCCAGCAGAUCCUGAUUUCUACAAGAUAGGGUUUGUUAGAAGUAUGAGAGCUUAUGGAAUUGAAUUUAAAGAAGGCCCAGAUGGGUUUGGAGUUUAUGCUUCCAAGGAUGUUGAACCACUUCGCCGUGCUAGGGUGAUAAUGGAAAUACCACUAGAACUGAUGUUAACUAUAAGCCAAAAGCUCCCAUGGAUGUUUUUCCCAGAUAUAGUACCGGUGGGUCACCCAAUAUUUGAUAUCAUCAAUUCAACAAGAAGAGAAGCUACGCUCAGCUUCAUUUAGAUUUGGGUUAGUCUUGUUGUCUCAGAUGAAAAACUGGAAAGCACAUGGGUGUUUAUGCAGAUAUAUGUAAUGACACAGUUGAAGAAGCUGAAAAGUUUUUGGGUCAACCUUUACAUUUGCUGUUCUCAUUUACACUGAUUGUACUGAUGGGACAUCCCUUGGAAGCUCAUUGUCACCUCCUUUCCCUGGUCCUUGCACACUCAGAACAGCAUUGGCACCUAAGAAGUGUGAUUUGUAAAACCCACCUAAAACGUGGUCUAAGUCCAAUCGGCAGAAUUCACAAAGGUGUGUUCCUUCUGGAUGAAGGAACCUCUGCAAUGUUACUCGUCAUGGUCUGGAGACCUCACAUCAGUUUCCUGACUCUACCAGCAAUAUUGAGGUGGUCAGUUCUAGGAAAUGGCCUUUGAUUUCUCGUUACCGAGCUGCAGUUCGUACUCAAUCACCAAAAGUAGAAAUGAUUGCUAAUCUGUUCAAGCCUGUGUCUGAUAAAGAGGACCAAGGCAUAAUCAAGUUGGCUCCUAUCUCCCCCUAUACUCUGCCACUUUGAUUUUUUUGUGAAUGUAUAAUUAUACAAACCUUACUAUUGCGGUAUGAAAUUGUUUACAUAGAUUCUGCUCUUCUGCUGGCAUCCUCAUUAUCACCACAAAGUGUUCUUCAAGACUUGGUUGGUUUCAACAUUUCACUAAAUGUUGUUAGAAAACUAGUUCUGUUGAUGUAAUGACUUUGUUGGAUAUAUGGAUGAAUGUAUCGGAUUUUUACAUGAAUGAAUGUGUUUUGGAUGUGAUGUCA